rnacentral:rRNA from 1 species
UGUUGUUGCAGUUAAAAAGCUCGUAGUCGGAUUUCAGUAUUAGGCCCUUCUUCCAAUACGGUUGCUAGUGGUCUUUACUUCCUUAACAGAAUCUUUCAUUUUAUUAAUUUAAAGCGUUUGGGGCCUGUUUCUUUUACUUUGAGAAAACUAGAGUGUUCAAAGCGGGUUUUCGCCUGGAUAUUACUCUUGGAAUAAUAAUAUAGGACUUUGGUUCUUUUUUGUUGGUGACUUAGAACCGAAGUAAUGAUUGAUAGGGACAGUUGGGGUCAUUCGUACUAUGAAGCGAGAGGUGAAAUUCAUGGACCUUUGUAUGACGAACUACUGCGAAAGCAUUUGACUAGGAUGUUCCCGUUGAUCAAGAACGAAAGUUGGGGGAUCGAAGACGAUCAGAUACCGUCGUAGUCUCAACCAUAAACUAUGCCAGCUAGGGAUUGGAGGAAGAUCAUUUUACGUCUCCUUCAUCACCUUAUGAGAAAUCAAAGCAUUUGGGUUCCGGGGGGAGU